rnacentral:rRNA from 1 species
AACGAACGCUGGCGGCAUGCCUGACACAUGCAAGUCGAACGAGACCUUCGGGUCUAGUGGCGCACGGGUGCGUAACGCGUGGGAACCUGCCCUUAGGUUCGGAAUAACUCCCCGAAAGGGGUGCUAAUACCGGAUAAUGUCUUCGGACCAAAGAUUUAUCGCCUUUGGAUGGGCCCGCGUUGGAUUAGCUAGUUGGUAGGGUAAAAGCCUACCAAGGCGACGAUCCAUAGCUGGUCCGAGAGGAUGAUCAGCCACACUGGGACUGAGACACGGCCCAGACUCCUACGGGAGGCAGCAGUGGGGAAUAUUGGACAAUGGGCGAAAGCCUGAUCCAGCAAUGCCGCGUGAGUGAUGAAGGCCUUAGGGUUGUAAAGCUCUUUUACCCGGGAUGAUAAUGACAGUACCGGGAGAAUAAGCUCCGGCUAACUCCGUG